rnacentral:misc_RNA from 1 species
GAGGGAACCUUUAUCCUUGUAGUCAUUAUGCUAUUUUCAAUAUUCAGAGGAUCAUCAUAGUUAGACAUUGAGGAAAUUUUAUGAAUCCUUUGUGUCUUCCUUUAGAGUCAACAUACAAAGGACCAUUAUUGUUAGUCUGAAUUAACCAAAUUUCUCCUCUUCCUUCCACUUCGAAUCUAAUCCUAUAGCAUCAACGAAUAUUGCAACG